GAUUUCUCCUGGGAUGGUACACUGCACUUAUGUGACAAUCUCCUAGGGUCUUAAUAUAUCAAGUCUUUGAGAUGGAGAAUCCAACGUAUCUUCCUUGUUCAAUGACAGCUGGCGGAGAAAACAAACCCAGUCAAGGUCCCUAGACCACAUCAGCAGAGAGAAUACUGAAGAAGCCCCAAUCCAGUUCAUGUAACCUGAGCUUCCAGGCAAGUGGCAUGAUUGCAAAGCAGGGUCUCUGAGGAUGUGGGCCCUCCUCAGCUUACACAAGGACUUGGAGAGGAUGACCCUGACAUAGACAGGGCUUUGAAGAGAGACCUCAGUCCACCGAGAGAAAAUAUGUUUGCAGCAAGAGACACCGAGCCUCGGAUGAAUGAUGGUGAACCAGACGGUGCAUGGGACCUACGCUUUCUCUGGCCACCACAGGUGAACACAGCUUGAUCAGCUUCCAAAAUGAGCAUUAGAAUCACUGUGGAUAUCUCUGCAAAUAAAACCCCUGGUUUCCAAGCAAUUAAUACUGAUUCCAACCAGUGGGACAAUGUUGAGGGACCACAACCAGGAGAGUCUGCUGUUUCUGCUCUAUGCUAGUUUAGCCACAGACUGUGCACUGCAGAUGUCGAAGGGAGCGCAAACAGCAUGAGAGAGCCACAAUCUUAUCUUCCUGUGAAUCUAGAAGGUCAGAAGUGACUUAGUCUGGUAAUAAACUCCUGCCUCCCAGACAGCAUAGAGUUUUCUCUCCUUAGAUUCUUCUUUCUUUAGACACCACACUCUCUCUCACACACACACCAUUAUAAUUAUUGCUUAAAUUUAUUUUAAAGGAAAAUAACAAUCCUGUAAGGGGGACAGCCAAACACAGAAGCACCAGAUAUAAUGUGAU